GCGAACGCUGGCGGCGUGCCUAACACCUGCAAGUCGAACGUGAAAAGGGAAACCUGAGUAAAGUGGCGUACGGGUGAGUAACGCGUAGGUAAUCUACCCCAGAAUCUGGAAUAACCUGCCGAAAGGCGGGCUAAUACUGGAUAGAGCGAGGGAACUCGUAAGAGAGUUUUUCGGGAAAGGGAGCCCGCAAGGGCCUUCGUUCUGGGAUGAGCCUGCGUCUCAUUAGCUAGUUGGUAAGGUAACGGCUUACCAAGGCGAUGAUGAGUAGCUGGUCUGAGAGGAUGAUCAGCCACACUGGAACUGAAACACGGUCCAGACUCCUACGGGAGGCAGCAGUGGGGAAUCUUGCGCAAUGGACGAAAGUCUGACGCAGCCACGCCGCGUGAGUGAAGAAGGCCUUCGGGUUGUAAAGCUCUGUCGGAUGGGACGAACAUCUUCAUAGUGAAUAGCUAUGAGGACUGACGGUACCAUCAAAGGAAGCACCGGCUAACUCCGUG
rnacentral:rRNA from 1 species